GACGUAGGGCGCGAGCGUUGUCCGGAUUUAUUGGGCGUAAAGAGCUCGUAGGCGGCUUGUUAAGUCAGGGGUGAAAUCCUGGAGCUCAACUCCAGAACUGCCUUUGAUACUGGCGAGCUUGAGUCCGGGAGAGGUGAGUGGAACUGCGAGUGUAGAGGUGAAAUUCGUAGAUAUUCGCAAGAACACCAGUGGCGAAGGCGGCUCACUGGCCCGGUACUGACGCUGAGGUGCGAAAGCGUGGGGAGCAAACAGG
rnacentral:rRNA from 1 species